ACUAAAAUGACUCGACAUUAUUAUUAAUUUUUUUUUUCAGAUAACUAAACAUACAAAAACAUUGUUUUGCAUUAAACACGUGGGAAUGGCCACGCCGCCUGGUUAGUGAGCUCCGUGUGUGUGUUGCGACCCCGCCUCGGUUCCUCCGCCCACCGGGAACACCUCUGGAGCACGUGGAGAAAGCCGGAAGCACCGAAUCAGCGCAGAAUUAUUAUUUUCCAUAACUCCUGUUGUCCGCUCGAGUGAUCACGAAAAAUGUUUCAAGCACCAAAACAGGGCUUCUGAUGGUUGGGGUUUGGUGACGUACGUGUGCAGGUUGUGCAGUGGUCGCAGGUGUGUGUGGAGAACGUGAGCUCGAGCGACUGGGUUCCUGGUUCAUCUUGGCCAGAACGAUGGCGGCGAUCAGCUGACGGUCCUCAGCCUGGUGUUCACCAAUGAGCUGCAUCGAAGAGCCCACCACCUGCACACACACACACACACCAGCAUUAAAGAGGAGCAGCAGCGGUUCUCCACUUUCAAGGGAAUCCAAGACACAAAACAACAGUUUUAAAGAUGCACUCGAUGAUGGUGAGAUCCGAACGCCGUGUGGAG